GUUGGUGCGCGUCUUCGAGAGUGUUUCGAUCCGAAGGAAAAGGAAAAGUUCGAACUCGGAGGUUCUUCUACCGAUUUUGUUAUUGUUGUUGUGUGUUCGAAAAGGGAAGCAGGAGUAGGCGGUGCGAAAGAGACGCAAUAUGCGCUGAUCGAACGGUUGCUGUGGAAACGAGGGGAAAACUGGAUCAAAAAUCCGUUUGAGUGGGUGUAAAGAAGCAAAUUGGGAAAGAAUCCGGAAAAUCGUAUAUAAAUUUAGUGGAAUAUAAAUUUGUCAGUGAGUGAUCAUCGCUGGAAACGCAUGGUGUUGAAGGAUUAGCGCAGAAAAAAUUGCAGCAACCACCGGAGGUGCUGAUCGAUGCAAGAUCUAGUGAAGAAGCCCCAACUGAGCAGUACGAAUGGGAAGUAGUGCGGAAAGUGUGAUGGUGUUUUAAAAAUAGGAUACAGAAUUUCCUUCGCCUGUGGGUGCCCCGCGUCGACUGUUUGUGGCGGCUUUCCACUCCAGAGGGAGCGAGAGAAUUUCUCCGAGGUGGAUCGGUGGCGACGAUAUUUUGUAGCCACAGUCUUCUUCCAAGUGUUUUGCCCAUACAGUUACACAGUAGCAUAGGAUCGAGAGUGAGUGCCCCCGGCUGUGCGGUGAAGUGGUGCAUUUGGAGAGCAAACGGCAGCGGUGUCGAACGAGCUGCCGCAGCAGGAAAAUUGCGCGUGUUCGUAAGCUGAGGAGACGGAAAACUUGGGAUGUACUGAGCUGCGAGACGCAACCAGUGGACGCAGAAAUAUCUACCUACAACAACCGAUAAUAUCAUCCUGGAUAAGCAAGAUUUUCCUGCUCAGCAUCACCAUCCUUCUCGUUCUCCAAUCGUCUGACGAUGGCACGCCGUUUGCUGAAAUGCAUCCACCAGUCCACCAGGAAAAGCAAAGCAGCGAUGAAUCCGAUGGCAGCCGCCGAUCGAUUGUUACCGAUGGGAUAGGCGCGGAAAAGAUCGGACAACACGCAGUACCCCAGUAUGUAGUAGCCAGCUGCCGCCAAUCCAGUGAACCAAAGUUCCACCCUGAACCAUUGCAUCGAAGUGAAUGCUCGACGAACCGGACGAGCUGCAAGUAACGAAUCGCCCAGCAGAAGCACCGUCCCGAUC